GGGGGUAUAGCUCAGUGGUAGAGCAUUUGACUGUACAUCGAGAAGUCCUCGGUUCGAACACCCGGGUGUCCUCU